rnacentral:misc_RNA from 1 species
AACACGCAAAGAGUGAUAGACUUUGGAACUCGAUAGAAAAGGUACACGGCCUGAUAAGGUGUCAAAGCUCUGAAAGACAACUCAUUGCCCCAUGAUUAGGUAUACCAAUAUAAGGAAGUGGCAAUAACUGCUCCAAAUUUAACUGAUGUACAGGUUGUUUACGAGGGAAAAGUAAGUAAAGAAUAUAAUGUUACGUGAAUAUCUAGGUUG